GAGAAAGAAGUAUUUAUAUUUUGAUUAAAGUGGCGCACGNGGUGAGUAACACGUAAGCAAUCUACCCUUAGGUACGGAAUAACUUCGCGAAAGCGGAACUAAUACCAUAUAAUGCAGCGGCAUCGCAUGAUGAUGUUGUUAAAGUUGCUUCGGUAACGUCUAUGGAUGAGCUUGCGACUGAUUAGUUUGUUGGUGAGGUAACGGCUCACCAAGACUGCGAUCAGUAGCUGGUCUGAGGGGAUGAUCAGCCACACUGGAACUGAGACACGGUCCAGACUCCUACGGGAGGCAGCAGUGAGGAAUAUUGGGCAAUGGGCGAAAGCCUGACCCAGCAACGCCGCGUGGAGGAUGAAUGUCGUAAGAUUGUAAACUCCUGUUAGAUGGGAAGAAUAGCCGUAAUUCGUAAGGGUUACGGUCUGACUGUACCAUCAAAGAAAGCCCCGGCUAACUACGUGCCAGCAGCCGCGGUAAUACGUAGGGGGCAAGCGUUGUCCGGAUUUACUGGGUGUAAAGGGCGCGCAGGCGGAUUGAUAAGUCAGAGGUGAAAUCCUACAGCUUAACUGUAGAACUGCCUUUGAUACUGUUAAUCUUGAGUACGGAGCAGAGAGAUGGAAUUCCAGGUGU
rnacentral:rRNA from 1 species